rnacentral:ncRNA from 1 species
CGACCUCAGAUCAGACGUGGCGACCCGCUGAAUUUAAGCAUAUUAGUCAGCGGAGGAAAAGAAACUAACGAGGAUUCCCUCAGUAACGGCGAGUGAAGAGGGAAGAGCCCAGCGCCGAAUCCCCGCCCCGCGGUGGGGUGCGGGACAUGUGGCGUACAGAAGCCCCCCUCCCCGGCGGCGCUCUCGGGGGACCCAAGUCCUUGUGAUCGAGGCCGCAGCCCGCGGACGGUGUGAGGCCGGUAGCGGCCCCCCGGCGCGCCGGGCCCGGGGCUUCUCGGAGUCGGGUUGCUUGGGAAUGCAGCCCAAAGCGGGUGG